GACCUACCCGCCCAUCUCUCUAUCCACUCCUCCCGCAUGACUGGGCAGACAGCUCCUGCCGCCUGCAGCCGUCCUCACUCCCCGGGAUCACUGCAGACACGGUGCACGCACAGCCAGCCCCAGCAUGGCUGAGAACUCCAGCCCAAAGGAGACCCCUGCGGAGGGAGUGGGCGGCCCGGAGUCUCCCGCAGAAGAGCCCCCCUGUGUUGAGCUGAAAGCUGCUUUUGAGAAAUGCAUUAAAGAGAAGGGGAAAGAUGGAUGUAAGGAGUUCCUGGAAGCUUACCACUCAUGUCUGCGAGCGCUGGGCACACCCCAUCCAGAUCUAGAAGCCAACCCAACGCCGGCAAGUCACUGAGGGACCUGUUUGGCCAAGUCGUCUCGCUUCUCACCGUAACUCUCUGGCACUCGAGAAGUGAAGUUCCAGGGGGUGGAGAGGCCCAACGAGGCUGAACNGAACACUCCUUGAAGACACUCAACGAAGGGCUCUCGAGCGCAAUAAAGCCCUUGCAUUUUCCUCA
rnacentral:lncRNA from 1 species